GACCUGCUUGUGUUGGGACAGAAGAGUGGUGAGAAAGACCUCCUCGGAGGCCUGGGGCAUGUGUGAUGCUCCAGUGAAAACAACAGAAUCAGGGUGUGAGCAGGCAUCUCCGUGGAUUUGCCAGACGCAAUUUACCAAUCUUCUCAGCACAGACUCUUACAAAGACUGCAUUCCUGACUAUGUCACAGAGCCCAGGAGGGCAGGCAGAAAGCAUAAACCACCCGUGUGAGCAGAGGAAAGUGGCGUGGAGAAGUCGUGUAAGAACCCUUUAAUGGAUAUGUAAAUGGCAUCAGUGAGGGAGACUAAAUGGCAGUGGAGUGUUGCUUAGAGGCGUUUUAUGCAUUUUAUGAUGUUUUGUGCAUUUGAAAAUACUGGUAACAGGAAGAGAGGGACCCUAUCACAAUUCUGGUCUCUCAUUAUUUGUACAUAAUAAGCAUAUCCAUUAUCGUUAUUUAGACCACUUGCUAGUCUGAAUUUUUCCAGAAAUGAUGUUUUCCCAGAAUGUCUAGGACUUCCUCUCUCAUACUGAGUUGUUGAGCUUGGAGUCUGCUGCAGGUUAGAGUCUGAAGCCAAAUUUGUCACGAGGUGUCUCAGCCAGAAUACUGAGCUGCUCAGGGUCACCUGCCCAGGAAAGCAGCCAGGGAAUUCCUGGGCAUUGAGACCACACGGGAACGUGAGCAUCUAUUGCUAGAGAGCUGUGCAGUGUGGGACAGGCAGUCCGAAGAUUUUUGAAAGAAGCAGCUGCACACAUUGUCUGUUUCACCACUCAUGGGCAGGUGGAAAGCUGAGCCUGGAGAGGUAAAGUUGUUGGCUGGCCACAGGCAGGGGAGGGGGAACCUGCUCCCUUGGGCCUUUGUUGCUGUGCUGGGUGAAGGUUGUGGAGAAGCCUUGCCUCUAGAAAGAGAGGACAGGAAGAGAGCAGUGAUGCCUUAGGAAAAGAAAAAACUGCAAGUUACUGAGCACUGACCACGGGCCAACACCUGUCAGUGCUUGAUGUCAGCCACAGCCCUGAGGGACAAGGGCAUGGAGCCUGGGUCCGUGAAGUGAGCUCUCUCUCUAAGGUUGGAGGUGAAGCGAGGGGGCAUGUGCAGUGUGAACUGGGGGCUCUGACUGCAAGUGCUGUCCACCAUUGGAUCCAGGUGGCUGGGCAUACUCUCACUGUCCAGACGAUGACUGGAUUCGGGGGUCUUUUCUGGUGCCAGAUUUCCAGUGUGUGUCGGCAGCUCUGGUUUUUGUUGGUCCCUUAUCACCAAAGACCACUUCCCCUUUGCCCUUGUGGGGGAUGUGAAGGGUGGCCCUGAAUCACGCACUUCCACUUCCUCUGGUCUUCGCUGGAGCUCUGAAAAGGUGUGAACACCAAACACUACUAUUCUGGGCUGAUGGCGUUCAAUCUGGCCUUCUGUGCACCUGGAGCAUGGGCAGCUCAUCUUGGUCUCGCUGAUGGCACUGUUUUCCAGUGGCUGAAGGAGCAGGUGAUGCUCUGUUUUGCAUGUUCUGUGCUUUCUGCAGACUCCCCUGGUCACACUUGGGCCUGGGAGCUGCAUGGUCACCCAGACAGGGCAUGUCUCAGCCUGCCAGCCUUGGAAGGAAACAUCCCCAACCCAUCAGUGAGUCCUUGCCGCAUCCUAUGACCUUCCGGGUCCCAGGGCCCAGAGCACACCUGCCUCUCAUGAGACUUUCCUCAGCUGGGAUUUAAGUCUGAAUUGCUUAAGAGGAAAGGAGCAGGUCCACAAGGACUCAGAGGCUACAGCAAGUGUCCAGUGAAGCUGUCACAUGUGAUUAAGAAGAGAAAGAAGCCUGUCCCAUGUUCCGGGAUGGACUGGUCUGGCUGCUUAAGGCAGCUACGCUGAAUAAAAUGAUAUGACAAUGCCCCAUGUCUUGAAACUUCAGCUUCCUCCUCUUCAUCCGGGAGCCUCCACCCUGGUCUGAAGCUGUCCCUUCUAUCCUAAGGCCUGCCUUGCCUUCAGAACCCAUGGUCUGUCAGGCCUCCCGGUUCCUCAUUCCCCCAGAUAGAGGUGUGAGGGAGGAGCUCUUCCCACCUUCUGCAGACAGGCAGACUGAGGCUUGAGCAUCUGUGGCUUGCUUUUGAGGACACAAGGGAGGUGGGGGGCCUAGCUGGAGCCAGGUCUUUAGAUCACGGCUCUGGGCUUUCCGCCCACCUCACCCUGACUCCUCGUCUAGCCUCAUCCCCGAUUUCCCCAUUAGACACCUGCUCUCUACCAGGAGACCAAGCAGGAAGGUUUCCUUAGCACCCUUGGGAAAUCUUCUGUUCUUGGGGUACAUUUGGAGUGAUUUCCAGAACGACACCAUCCCCUACCUCCUGAUGUCCUCACCCAGGUGUCCCACAGGCAUGUCUGUCCUUCCCUGCCCAAAAGGGACCCCACCAUCUCCCCCAUCAACAGCUCUUCCCUUUAUUAGACCCCCACCUCUAACCCAACACCCUGAUCAGAGCCUGCUGCUGAGCUUAUCCACACACCUGCCUUCCAGUGGCCUCUCCUUCCUCCCAGCUCUCAUCCCUCCCUUCUCUUCACUCUUGCCACGCCUCAGGCACUGAUCGUUUCUUACCAUGACCAUUGAAACUAUCUCGGACGGGUCCCCCGCUGUGGCAUCCCCGCUCCACGUGGCCCUGGGUGCCUUGCCCUCUCUCACUCCCAGUCUUAGGAACCUAUUCUGGUAACGUGAGCGAUGGGAGUGCACCGGAGUGUGUGAGUUUGCCGGUGGAUUUGCAGAGGGCUGGCGAGCCAGGCCUGGAGCUGGCAGGCGUGAGGGGCUCCCUGGAAAAGACGAACCCAUCUCCCCCACUUCGCUGUGUCACACCAGGUGUCCACUAGAGUUGCCAACUGUGACAGUGUCCGGAGGUUCUCUGGCUGGGGCUCUGAAAGAGACUGACAAAGGCAGAUUAACGAGAGAAAAACAGACACGAGUUUAUUACCACGUGCAUCACGCACACCCAUGGGAACGUCCGCAGCCUGACUCCAUUUGUCCCACUUUCCAAUAUUCCAUGUGGAUAGCCUAGAACCAUCUAAGAGAUAAGGCACCCAGAUCGCAAACCACAGGACUCGGAAUUCUCUGCUUGUCUCCUAAUUAGAAGCCAUUGAAGAGUCAGUGGACUGAAUACAAAUUAACCAUUAGAUCAACUGAAAAUGUCAAGUUUAGAUGAAUCUGAGUUCUCAUUUAGAUAUUUUCUGGCUGUUGGCCCAGCCCCACAAAUAAAUACACAUUUGAAAGUUAUCCUGUUACUUUGAUAAAAGAAUUUGGUCUCUUACAAAUGAUAAUUCAGCUCUCAAUGUGGCUUAGGUGAACAUAGUUUUGGAUUUCUUCAAGUAAGAUAUAUGAGCACAGUGUGUAUUAUCUUUACAACAGAUAUCCAUAAUAAUUAUAGUAACAAAGCCAUCUUUCUAUAUUUCUUUAAAGUUUGUUUUUUCCUUUUAAGCUCCAUCCCAGGAAUUUGGGCUGUAAUUCAGGGACUUGUAGAACCUCACAGUGAGAGAGGAGUGAAGUCCUGUCUGCUUGGAUUUAUUGCUGUCUUGAUUAAUGAGAAUUGCUAGCUUUUCCUUACUUUUGGAAGGAGGCUGGGAAAUGCAAACUUCCCACCUGCCCUUGAAGGAGAAAGGAAUCUGGACUGGAUACAAAGAAGCUGGUGAGGAGCAUUUAUCCUGCAGUCCCUGCUAGGUGCAGGGUGCUGGAGCCUGGAGACCGGAGACAGGGGCAGCACCCCGAUGGUCGUAUACCUGCCAGCCCUGCUGGAGGGGGCGAUUAGGGCAGAAGUCUUUCCACUGAGAAGCGGACUGUGCACUGUUGUGGACUGAGCUGAUAGGUACCGAGCUUUUGGACACUGUGCUGCUGGAGCAGGGUGGGGGAUACAGGGGGAGUGAAAGGAACCAGCCCCCUCAGCAGGCCUGGAAAGACGAGGUGGGUGCCCAGACCCAGUAGGUUGUUGCUCUGCUGGCCCAUACUGUAGCAGUGACUUGGCUUGGUAGACCUGGGAGGCCAUUGUGUUUUUAUACUUACCACAAUUCAUGCAUGGUCUGCCCAAUGUGUGGGGUUAGUUCUGCCCGUUGAUUCUCUUCCUCUUGUUUCAUGGUACCCUUACUGUAAGGGGAGUGACCAGAACUGGCCACACAGUGGGCAUCUUCUAGGCACUGUCCUGGCCAGGAGGACAAGGCCGCCUUUUGCACUGGUUCCCCUGUCAGGUCAGGCCUUGGCCCACCACCUGUGCCUUCCAUGUCCUCCUUCCUGUACACUCACGCACCCCUCCCCUGGUAACCAUGUUGCCUUUACACCCAUGAGCCCUGCUGUGGUGCCCUUGCCAGGCACAGUGAGAAACACAAGGGUGACCUGUAGACGAACUGGGCUGAUAUGGGUGGAUCAAGGCCCAGAGCUGUUGUAUAGACGCGUCAGAAAUACAUGCGUAUGAGAAGGGAGAGUAAUGAGAAGAACCUCAUUCACUGGCGAGUGGGGAGGAAGGUGCUGGCAAGAGCCUGGUAUGGAGCUCAGACUAGAGGUGGACCAGCCUUGUCUUUAGAGCUGUAUGAAAGCUCGAAAGCUGCCCCCACCCCAACUCAUUCACCCAGUCACAAAGAUAGGUGACCUGUCAUCAGAUGGCUUCUGUUUCCCGCUAACAGUCUAGUAACACAGAUGAGCCCAUUCUCCUUAGCACCAUUCUCUCCACCACCAACACUUACUGGUCACCUCUGGAUACUGGAAGGAAGAGGUGAACUGGAAAGACAAGACCACUCUCUGCCCUCAAGAUGGGGCUGUGUCUAGCUAAGUGAGAUGUGUGUGUGUGUGUGUGUGUGUGUGUGUGUGUGUAUACACAUAUAUGUAUAAAGACAACCAUAUUUAUUUGUCUAUAUGGGACUACAUCUCUGCAUAAACACUACCAUAUGCAGGCUCUGAGGUCAAAGUUCAUCCUUACCUCAGCUAGACAGGAGGAUCCAGCAUUUUCUAAUUAAUAAAAUACCUCACAGCUUUCCUUAUCCUGCUGUAGUUGGACAUGGAAUUCUUUUGGUUAUUCUGCUUAGGAAAAGUAGCCUCUGCAUUAAAUGCCAAGCUCUGUAGGGGAGCAAAGCCUAUGCUUUGCUUAACACAUAGAAUGGAAUUGCAUUAAUGUGAGAAAGCAUUUCGAAAAUGAUGGAGUCUGUAGAGAUGCUAGGAAUUGUUUUCAUGAUCAUUACCUGAAGCUUCAUCCUAAAAUGUGCUGACUCUUAAUUUAAGUAUAUGCAACCCAAAGUUAUCUAGGCCUGUCAGCCUCAGCCUUAAGCUCUAGUCUUAGCACUGUGAUGCAUGAAGAGAAAUGUAAUUUCUACUCCAAAAGUGUUUUAAGAUAACAUAAGAUUGGCCGAGCGCAGUGGCUCACGCCUGUAAUCCCAGCACUUUGGGAGGCAGAGGCAGGAGGAUAACGAGGUCAGGAGAUCGAGACCAUCCUGGCUAACAUGAUGAAACUCUGUCUCUACUAAAAAUACAAAAAAAAAAAAAAAAAAAUUAGCCGGGCAUGGUGGCAGGAACCUGUAGUCCCAGCUACUCAGGAGGCUGAGGCAGGAGAAUGGCGUGAACUUGGGAGGCGGAACUUGCAGUGAGCCGAGAUCGCACCACUGCAUUCCAGCCUGGGUGACAGAGUGAGACUCUGUCUCAAAAAAAAAAAGAAAAAAAAAAGAUAACAUAAGACUUUAAUUAAGUCUUUGGAGGGCUGGCAUAUCAGGGGUGCGACACACAGCAGAAGAUUUCCAAAAAUCCUCACACAUGUGCGCCACUGUCCUUGUCAGCAUGGCCUUCUCCUCACCCUUUCAUGGGCCACAGUCCCUCUUCUGGCCUCCCCUAAAAGCUCUGGCAGGCCCUCUUUCAUGACCACUUCCCAUCUACCUCUUCUUAUAG
rnacentral:lncRNA from 10 species